CCUACGGGUGACAGCAGUGAGGAAUAUUGGUCAAUGGGCGAGAGCCUGAACCAGCCAAGUCGCGUGAGGGAGUACUGCCCUAUGGGUUGUAAACCUCUUUUGUCGGGGAGCAAAAGCCGGACGUGUUCGGCUGUGAGAGUACCCGAAGAAAAAGCAUCGGCUAACUCCGUGCCAGCAGCCGCGGUAAUACGGAGGAUGCGACCGUUAUCCGGAUUUGUGGGGUUUAAAGGGGGCGCAGGCGGAUUUUUAAGUCAGCGGUAAAAUCGUGGGGCUCAACCCCAUCCAGGCGUUGACACUGGGGAUCUAGAGUGUGCGAGAGGUAUGCGGAAUGCGUGGUGUAGCGGUGAAAUGCAUAGAUAUCACGCAGAACCCCGAUUGCGAAGGCAGCAUACCGGUGCACAACUGACGCUCAGGCACGAAAGCGUGGGUAUCGAACAGGAUUAGAUACCCUGGUAGUC
rnacentral:rRNA from 1 species